rnacentral:rRNA from 1 species
GAUGAACGCUGGCGGCGUGCCUAAUACAUGCAAGUCGAGCGAACGGACGAGAAGCUUGCUUCUCUGAUGUUAGCGGCGGACGGGUGAGUAACACGUGGAUAACCUACCUAUAAGACUGGGAUAACUUCGGGAAGCCGGAGCUAAUACCGGAUAAUAUUUUGAACCGCAUGGUUCAAAAGUGAAAGACGGUCUUGCUGUCACUUAUAGAUGGAUCCGCGCUGCAUUAGCUAGUUGGUAAGGUAACGGCUUACCAAGGCAACGAUGCAUAGCCGACCUGAGAGGGUGAUCGGCCACACUGGAACUGAGACACGGUCCAGACUCCUACGGGAGGCAGCAGUAGGGAAUAUUCCGCAAUGGGCGAAAGCCUGACGGAGCAACGCCGCGUGAGUGAUGAAGGUCUUCGGAUCGUAAAACUCUGUUAUUAGGGAAGAACAUAUGUGUAAGUAACUGUGCACAUCUUGACGGUACCUAAUCAGAAAGCCACGGCUAACUACGUG